GAAAUUCAUUGUCAUAAAACGAAAUUUCCUUUUGCAUUAGGAUUGUCCAAAAAUAAGAAAACUUUCUCUGAAAGAAAAAUAGUAACCUAAAGUAUUAAAUUAAGUACAUUAUAUGGACUUAAAAAUAUACUUUUGUGAUAGGCAUUAGACUAUUUGAUACCUUUUUAAAAUUUUAUUUAUUUAAGGAUAACCUUAAAUUGGCUUUUAAAGCAAUAAAAAUACAGGAUUAGUAGUAUCUCGUAUAUUUUUUUAUAGUAAAAAAUUUGUUGAAUAGAGCAUAAUUCUUUGAGUCUAAUAAAACGUACUUUAGAUUUAUAAUGGCUAGCGUGAGUAAAUUAUUUCAUAAUAUUUUAUUUAAAACUCGACAAUUUUUAUUCUACUGUUUAUUAAAAACAUUACAAUAAUUCAUUUAUUGCAACUUCCUGCCCAAUGAUAAAUUUUUAAUGGCCGCAGUAACCUGACUGUGCUAAGGUAGCAUAAUCACUUGUUUAAUAAAUUUGAACUGGAAUGAAAGGAAAAAAGUAAUAUUAAUUGUUAACUAAAAUAAAUUUAAAUCAACCUUAGAGUGCAAAUACUCUAACUAAUCUUAUAAACGAGAAGACCCUGGAAAUUUACAUUAUUUUAUUGGGAUAAUUCAAUUACAUAAAUUUGAUAACCAAAUUUAUUAAAUAAAAGAAAUUACUCCAGGGAUAACAGCACAAUGAUUGUUAAGAGACCUAAUCUAAGUGAUUAAUUGUGACCUCGAUGUUGAAUCAUUAUACAAUAAAAUCCGCAGAAGGAUUUUAUUUCCGUCUGUUCGACGUAAAAUUAUUACGUGAUUUGAGUUUAGACCGUUGAAAGACAGGUCGGAUUCUCUUUUAAGGGUUUAUAAGUAAACGUCAAAUUUAGUACGAAAGGAAUAAUUUGUUAAAUAUCAUAUUUUAAAUGAAUUAUUAUUUUUGCUUAUGUGAUUUUUUCUAACAGCUGUUAGCUUCUAUUAUAUCAUCUU
rnacentral:rRNA from 1 species